rnacentral:rRNA from 1 species
CCGCGGUAUCCUAACCGUGCAAAGGUAGCAUAAUCACUUGUCUUCUAAAUAAAGACCUGUAUGAACGGCUAAAUGAGGGUUAAUCUGUCUCCUUUAAUUAAUCAGUGAAACUGAUCUACCAGUACAAAAGCUGGUAUUCUACCAUAAGACGAGAAGACCCUGUGGAGCUUAAAAUUAAAAGCCAAAACAGUGCUUUACCAACCACAACUAUGACCAAAAAUUUUAAGUUGGGGCGACUUCGGAACAAAACAAAACUUCCGAGCAUAAAGGAACUUUACCUUAACAAGACCAACAAGUCUAAACAAAACUAGACCCAGUACAACUGAUCACCGAACCAAGUUACCCCAGGGAUAACAGCGCAAUCUUCUUCAAGAGUUCAUAUCGACAAGAAGGUUUACGACCUCGAUGUUGGAUCAGGACACCCAAAUGGUGCAGCAGCUAUUAAAGG